rnacentral:misc_RNA from 1 species
AACCCUUCAAGCACUGCUUGGUGUUGGGCGUCUUGUCCCGCCUCGGGCGUGGACUCGCCUUAAAGACAUUGGCGGCCUGUGUAUUGGCUUCGAGCGCAGCAGACUCGCGCGUCGACUCCUCUUGCACCAGGUGUCCAGCAAGCCUACAACCCCAA